UUCAUAACCCUUGUUAAUACAAUAUUUGUAUUCAUCCCGACUAUUCACUAUUCGGUUGUCUAAAACCUGUACUGACAAAGAUCUAUUUUCAAUGCAAAAAAAGUCCACAAAUUUUAUUGUAAACUACCCAAGUUAUCCAAGUCUAUUACAUAGAAAAACUUGUCUACAAGAGUAGUAGACUACAUAAAUGAAUACAACGAUAUAUUUAAUUUAAUUAUAGAUAUAUUACGAAAUUUAAACUCAAAGUGAACAAAUAAAUAAAUACAAAUAACAAUAAAAACAUCUUAUCGUUAGCUGAAGCGAUUUUGAGAAGAUUUAGAAAUUAUUUAACACAAUCACAAGUAUUUAUAUUAUGGUGGUGGUAAAUCUGGACAUAUUCCCUGUAUGCAACAUAAAUUAAGUUUUGGUUUGUCAUAACACAUUUUAGAUUUAUUACACCACCAAGAACCGUCCGAAAUAACUUCUCCAUCAAUACAUUUAUCUCUACAUGUCGAACAUACACUAUCAUUUCCCAAACAUAAUGUUAAAUUGGGCGGACAAGGNCGUUUACGUUUUUUAAUUGAAUUAUGGCCAGUAAUGUGACACAUAGAGAAAUGAUAAAACAUUUGAAGUCCAUUAUAAAAUGUGAAAUUCAAAAAACGAUGUUACCGAAUCAAUUGGCUAUUGUAGUCGGUAGUAGAUGAAUCAAGGUGAUACGAAGGUGAAUGUUUUUUGGCUGUAUAAUUCUUUCGGAUGUUGCAGGUGAAAUUUCGUAGACGAAUGAUGAUAACCGUCACGCGUAAAUAUUAUGACAAUACUGCACUGUGUGUUGCUGGAUUAAUGAUAAUUUUGUUACCCCGAUUUCGAUUUAUAUUCAAAACACAAAACCAUUAAUGACGCAAAAUAAACAAGUAUUUUCCGUUUAACGAAGAGUAAACAUGAUACAAAAGUUCGUUUUCAC